GUGCCAGCAGCCGCGGUAAUACCGGCAGCUCAAGUGGUCGUCGCUUUUAUUGGGCCUAGAACGUCCGUAGCCUGUUUGGUAAAUCUGUGGGUAAAUCAAUCCGCUCAACGGAUUGAAUUCUGCAGAGACUGCCAGACUAGGGACCGGGAGAGGUGUGGGGUACUCGAGGGGUAGGGGUAAAAUCCUGUCAUCCUUCGAGGACCACCAGUUGCGAAGGCGCCACACUGGAACGGAUCCGACGGUCAGGGACGAAGCCUAGGGGCACGAACCGGAUUAGAUACCCGGGUAGUCCUAGGUGUAAACGCUGUGAACUUGGUGUCGGGGGUCCGCAAGGGGUCCCCGGUGCCGGAGUGAAGAUGUUAAGUUCACUGCCUGGGGAGUACGGUCGCAAGGCUGAAACUUAAAGGAAUUGGCGGGGGAGCACUGCAACGGGAGGAGCGUGCGGUUUAAUUGGAUUCAACGCCGGAAAACUCACCAGGGCCGACUGUUAUAUGAAGACCAGCGUAAUGAGCUUGUCGGAUUUUCAGAGAGGUGGUGCAUGGCCGUCGUCAGUUCGUACUGUAAAGCGUUCUGUUAAGUCAGAUAACGAACGAGACCCUCAUCUCUAUUUGCAACCUGUCUCUCCGGAGGCGGCGCACUAUAGAGAGACCGCUGGUGUGAAACCAGAGGAAGGCGAGGGCAACGACAGGUCAGUAUGCCCCGAAUGUCCUGGGCUACACGCGCGCUACAAAGGACGGGACAAUGGGAAGCCAGGCCGAGAGGUCGAGCUAACCCGAAACCCGUUCAUAGUUCGGAUUGAGGGCUGUAACUCGCCCUCAUGAAGCUGGAUUCCGUAGUAAUCGUGUUUCAAUAUAGCACGGUGAAUAUGCCCCUGCUCCUUGCACACACCGCCCGUC
rnacentral:rRNA from 1 species